rnacentral:sRNA from 1 species
AUUCUCCUUGAUAACAGCGACGAUGUUAUUUUAUGGUCUGCGAAAUUAUCGCCAGCACCAGGGAGGAUAACGUUGCGUAAGCAACGGCCCGUAGGGCGAGGCGCAGCCGAGUAAUCCUCCCGGAUGCACCA